UACGUAGGGUGCGAGCGUUGUCCGGAAUUAUUGGGCGUAAAGAGCUUGUAGGCGGUUUGUCGCGUCUGCCGUGAAAUUUCGAGGCUCAACCUCGAACUUGCGGUGGGUACGGGCAGACUAGAGUGUGGUAGGGGAGACUGGAAUUCCUGGUGUAGCGGUGGAAUGCGUAGAGAUCCGGAAGAACACCGGUGGCGAAGGCGGCCUGCUGGGCAGGACGCUGGACACUGAGGCGCAAAAGCUAGGGGGAGCGAA
rnacentral:rRNA from 1 species